GGGUUCCUGUGUGUGGCCAUUGAACAGAAGCUGGUGGGAGUACCUGGGUUGUUUUCUUUGUGCAGACUUCUUCCUACAGAGAUGGGGGGUCUUGCUCUUGCUUCCAGUGGGACCAAAUUUUAAGUCAAGGAAGGAAAUACCAGAAGCCUUGCAAUAUAAUAUGCACAGCUGACCUUUUGUGUCCUGGAUUGCAUCAGACAGGAAGAAAAUACUUCAAGCUCUUGCUUGUGAGUUGUUCCUUCCCUAUGAUAGAUAGUAAUCAGAAUAAUUUCUACAAGACCUUUGACCUCUGCGUACUGCUAUGAAGGAUGAUGAAGGACUUCUCAUUCUUGGCUUGGAUUGGCUGGAAUUCAUUGGAUUUUCUGCCUGCCUUGAAUCAGGGCUCUGUCAGGAUAAAACAACAUUUCAUGGGACUACAAUGACUUAACAUGAGAGCAAAGAUGUUCGCGCUUCUGUUCAGCCUUGCCUGGGUAGGCUCCUGUCUCUUGCUGCUUUAAGGAUCAACGGGAAGUUGAAUUUGUGGAGGGGAGUGCAGCCAGGUGGGAGAGAGGAGGUCUCUUGCAUAGAGCUGAGCUGGGCACUGCAGAGCUGCUCUGAAUCUGUGAUAAAUGCUUUGUUUGUCAGGCUGUGUGCUUGUGAGCAGUUCAAACCAUACAAAUGUCAGUAGCAGAAAUAAAGAAUUUUGUGUAGCUUAAAGAGAUUCUUUUUGUCACCAAACAGUGCUUGUUAUGAAAUAUAUUAGAGCUGUUCAGUGCAUUAAUAUAAUUAGUUUAGUCUGUUAACUAGUGUAUUUCAUCCAAUGCUGUAGUCUGUGUUUGCUGACAAUAAAAUUACAAAAACUUACAAACUAACACAAAUAACAAUGCAAAUACAUUUGUCUGUUUGCUUU
ensembl:lncRNA